rnacentral:rRNA from 1 species
UACGUAGGGUGCGAGCGUUAAUCGGAAUUACUGGGCGUAAAGCGUGCGCAGGCGGCGCGUUAAGACAGGUGUGAAAGCCCCGAGCUUAACUUGGGAAUUGCGCUUGUGACUGGCGUGCUGGAGUGUGGCAGAGGGAGGUGGAAUUCCACGUGUAGCAGUGAAAUGCGUAGAUAUUGGGAGGAACACCAGUGGCGAAGGCGGCUCACUGGACUGGUACUGACGCUGAUGCGCGAAAGCGUGGGGAGCAAACAGG